GCAGUCAGCAAUUCAGCAAAUCAGUUUUGUUGUGUUGUUUUUUUUUUUCUUCUCAGAAGGAAACUUCAGCUUGAAGUUGUGCAAAUCAGUCUGGCAAAAAAACUUUCUCAUAUUAUUUCAAGGUAUCUAUUUAAUUCCCCUUUUGCCAUCUUGUCUUCUUCCUACAGCCAUUCUUUUUGAUUUCUGACAGGCUGCGUGAGCAAAAUUUUAGGGCCAGACAGCAUAUGUCUUCAUAAAAUCCUUCACCAAGGGAACAAAACAAAACACUGGUUGUGUAUGGACAAAUAGCUUGAUGCAUUCUUGAACACCAGAAAGGGCUUUAAAAUGAUUUGUAGUAUUUCAUAAAAAUCAUCAGUUCACUCAAAACUAGAGUCCACCACUUGAGCUUUUUGAUAUUACUGGGCCAGUGACAAAGACUGAAGCCUUGACUUGCCAUGUGGACACGAAAAGCAGCCACAGUGCUGGAUUUCACAGGAAAAACCCACUUCGCAAUGACACUGUGUGCACACAGUCCUGCUCCUCUGCAUUCUCCCCUUCUUCCAUCCCUGACUGCACUCUCAUUCCAGGGCACAGGACAGGAGCAGGUAGUGAGAGAAAGUGCUUAAAGUCCUGCUAGUUGGCCCCUGAAGCUGAGCUGCUCCUUUGUGCUCACGAAUCCAGCACCAUUUCUGAUUCGUCACAUCUGUGUUCUGCCACGACAGUGAAAACAGUGCUGAAAAUAUUAAGAAGGCUCCGCUGUUCCCUCAAUAUACCUAUUGAAAGGAAAAAACAUUGAAGGCAUGGGAGAGAGACAGAGAAAGAAUCUCUUUGAAGCACACAAGAAAGAAACAGAAGAAACACAAAAAAAAUGUUCAGAACAUAAUAAAAAAUAAUGCAUAAUUAAA